UGCAAGUCGAACGAUGAAAUCCUCUGCUUGCAGAGGAUGGAUUAGUGGCGAACGGGUGAGUAACACGUGGGUAACCUGCCCAUAAGAGGGGGAUAACAUUCGGAAACGGAUGCUAAUACCGCAUAGGUCUUUGAGACGCCUGUCUCUUAGAUGAAAGGUGGCUUCGGCUGCCGCUUAUGGAUGGACCCGCGGCGUAUUAGCUAGUUGGUGAGGUAAUGGCUCACCAAGGCUGUGAUACGUAGCCGACCUGAGAGGGUGAUCGGCCACACUGGGACUGAGACACGGCCCAGACUCCUACGGGAGGCAGCAGUAGGGAAUCUUCCACAAUGGGUGAAAACCUGAUGGAGCAAUACCGCGUGAGUGAAGAAGGUCUUCGGAUCGUAAAGCUCUGUUGUUAGAGAAGAACAAGUCGGGUAGUAACUGCCCCGACCUUGACGGUAUCUAACCAGAAAGUCACGGCUAACUACGUGCCAGCAGCCGCGGUAAUACGUAGGUGACAAGCGUUGUCCGGAUUUAUUGGGCGUAAAGCGAGCGCAGGCGGUCUUUUAAGUCUGAUGUGAAAGCCCACGGCUCAACCGUGGAGGGUCAUUGGAAACUGGAAGACUUGAAUGCAGAAGAGGAAAGUGGAAUUCCAUGUGUAGCGGUGAAAUGCGUAGAUAUAUGGAGGAACACCAGUGGCGAAGGCGACUUUCUGGUCUGUAAUUGACGCUGAGGCUCGAAAGCGUGGGGAGCGAACAGGAUUAGAUACCCUGGUAGUCCACGCCGUAAACGAUGAGUGCUAAGUGUUGGAGGGUUUCCGCCCUUCAGUGCUGGAGCUAACGCAUUAAACACUCC
rnacentral:rRNA from 1 species